rnacentral:rRNA from 1 species
GACAGAGGUGCCAAGCGUUAGGCGGAAUCACUGGGCUUAAAGCGUGUGUAGGCGGAUCGUUAAGUACCUUGUGAAAUCCCACGGCUCAACCGUGGAACUGCUGGGUAUACUGGCGAUCUUGAGCCACCUAGGGGCGAGCGGGAACAAACGGUGGAGCGGUGAAAUGCGUAGAUAUCGUUUGGAACGCCAACGGUGAAAACAGCUCGCUGGGGGUGUGCUGACGCUGAGACACGAAAGCCAGGGGAGCGAACGGG